UAUUCCUUGCAGGUUUUGCCUGUCGGUUUAAACAGACAAGGCAGGAUCACAAGGUCUGGA
rnacentral:pre_miRNA from 1 species